rnacentral:rRNA from 1 species
UACGUAGGGGGCAAGCGUUUGUCCGGAGUUACUGGGCGUAAAGCGCACGCAGGCGGUCUCUUAAGUUUGGAGUGACAGUUGGUGGCUUAACUGCCAAAGUGCUUCGAAAACUGAGAGACUUGAGGGCUUCAGAGGGACGCGGAAUUCCGGGUGUAGCGGUGAAAUGCGUAGAUAUCAGGAGGAACACCUGUGGUGUAGACAGCUUACUGGACCAUUUCUGACGCUGAGACACGAAAGCGUGGGGAGCAAACAGG